AACGUAGGAGGCGAGCGUUAUCCGGAUUCACUGGGCGUAAAGCGCGUGCAGGCGGUUCGGGAAGUUGGGAGUGAAAACUCCUGGCUUAACUAGGAGAGGUCGUCCAAUACUACCGGGCUAGAGAGUGGUAGAGGAAGAUGGAAUUCCCGGUGUAGUGGUGAAAUGCGUAGAUAUCGGGAGGAACGCCAGUGGCGAAAGCGAUCUUCUGGACCAUUUCUUGCGCUCAGACGCGAAAGCUAGGGUAGUAUACAGG
rnacentral:rRNA from 1 species